rnacentral:ncRNA from 1 species
AAAAAAGCGUAGAACAGGUUUUUUAUAACGCCAUUUCGAUUCAUAGAGACGAUGCGGCUGGUGGAAGCAUCGACGAAACGUUAUAAGCAGCCCCUGUGAGCGAUCCUAUGAAAAUCAGUAAUAGGAUCCGGAGCCAAACCGUUAUCAUGGAAGAGGUUUUCAUUGAGGAUGAAAACGAAAAAGGGUGGUACCGCGAAGAUCUUCGUCCCUUGA